UACGGGGGGAGCAAGCGUUGUUCGGAUUUACUGGGCGUAAAGAGCGCGCAGGCGGUCGUUCAAGUCGCGUGUGAAAGCCCCCGGCUCAACUGGGGAGGGUCACGCGAUACUGAUCGACUCGAAGGCAGGAGAGGGUAGUGGAAUUCCCGGUGUAGUGGUGAAAUGCGUAGAUAUCGUAAGGAAGACCAGUGGCGAAGGCGGGUCUCUGGACAGUUCCUGACACUGAGACACGAAGGCCAGGGGAGCAAACGGG
rnacentral:rRNA from 1 species